CUACUACUCCCUCCGUUCCAAAUUAGUUGACUUGAAUGAAUUUGUCUAAAUACGGAUGUAUCUAUAGUUGUUUAGUGUCUAGAUACAUUCAUGUUUAGAUAAAUGUGGGUCAAGUAAUUUGGAACGGAGGGAGUAGUUC
rfam:Triticum aestivum genome assembly, contig: Triticum_aestivum_CS42_TGACv1_scaffold_487255_6AS